CACGUAGGGGGCGAGCGUUGUCCGGAAUUACUGGGCGUAAAGGGCGCGUAGGCGGUUAUUCAAGUCAGGUGUGAAAUGCCGGGGCUCAACCCUGGGACUGCACUUGAAACUGGGUAACUUGAGGGCAGGAGAGGUAAGUGGAAUUCCUGGUGUAGCGGUGAAAUGCGUAGAUAUCAGGAGGAACACCAGUGGCGAAAGCGACUUACUGGUCUGGCCCUGACGCUGAGGCGCGAAAGCGUGGGGAGCGAACAGG
rnacentral:rRNA from 1 species